rnacentral:rRNA from 1 species
GACGAACGCUGGCGGCAGGCUUAACACAUGCAAGUUGAACGGGAUUUGAUGGUAGCUUGCUAUCAUUGAAGAGAGUAGCGCACUGGUGAGUAACACGUGGGAACAUACCUUUUGGUGGGGGACAACAGUUGGAAACGACUGCUAAUACCGCAUAAGCCCUGAGGGGGAAAGAUUUAUUGCCGAAAGAUUGGCCCGCGGAAGAUUAGGUAGUUGGUGGGGUAAAGGCUCACCAAGCCAACGAUCUAUAGCUGGUCUGAGAGGACGAUCAGCCACAUUGGGACUGAGAUACGGCCCAGACUCCUACGGGAGGCAGCAGUGGGGAAUAUUGGGCAAUGGGGGAAACCCUGACCCAGCAACGCCGCGUGAAGGAAGAAGGCCUCGGUUGUAACUUACUUUUACCUAGGGACGAACGAAAU